rnacentral:lncRNA from 1 species
AAAAUUUUUUGGUCGUAUAUUGGUAUCACGUUGGCGUUGUCGUCUGCGUUGUUCGAAUACUUUUAGUUUUCGCACUCUAACUUUAGUAAAAGUGAAUAGAAAUCUAUGAAAUUUUAACACAAGGUUUAUGACCACAAAAGGAAGGUUGGGAUUGAUUUUGGGAGUUUUGGUCACAACAUUUUAGGAAUUAGAGGCCAAAAAGGGCCCAAAUAAGCAUUUUCUUGGUUUUCGCACUAUAACUUUAGUUUAAGUAAAUAGAAAUCUAUGAAAUUUUGACACAAGGUUUAUGACCACAAAAGGAAGGUUGGGAUUGAUUUUGGGAGUUUUGAUCCCAACAGUUUAGGAAUUAGGGGCCAAAAAAGGGCCCAAAUAAGCAUUAUUCUUGGUUUUCGCACAAUAACUUUAGUAUAAGUAAAUAGAAAUCAAUGAAAUUUAAACACAAGGUUUAUGACAACAAAAGGAAGGUUGGG